GAUGAAUGCUAGCGGCAGGCUUAAUACAUGCAAGUCGUGGGCAGCAUGAGUAGCAAUACUUGAUGGCGACCGGCAAACGGGUGAGGAACACGUACACAACCUUCCUUCAAGCGGGGAAUAGCCCAGAGAAAUUUGGAUUAAUACCCCAUAAUAUAUUUGAUAAGGCAUCUUAUUAAUAUUAAAGCUUCGGCACUUGAUGAUGGGUGUGCGGCUGAUUAGAUAGUUGGCGGGGUAACGGCCCACCAAGUCUACGAUCAGUAGCUGAUGUGAGAGCAUGAUCAGCCACACGGGCACUGAGACACGGGCCCGACUCCUACGGGAGGCAGCAGUAAGGAAUAUUGGACAAUGGACGAAAGUCUGAUCCAGCCAUGCCGCGUGAAGGAUUAAGGUCCUCUGGAUUGUAAACUUCUUUUAUAUGGGACAAAAAGGGCAAUUCUUGUCACUUGACGGUACCAUAUGAAUAAGCACCGGCUAACUCCGUGCCAG
rnacentral:rRNA from 1 species